UACGAAGGGGGCUAGCGUUGCUCGGAAUCACUGGGCGUAAAGCGCACGUAGGCGGAUCUUUAAGUCAGGGGUGAAAUCCUGGAGCUCAACUCCAGAACUGUCUUUGAUACUGGGGAUCUCGAGUCCGGAAGAGGUGAGUGGAACUCCGAGUGUAGAGGUGAAAUUCGUAGAUAUUCGGAAGAACACCAGUGGCGAAGGCGGCUCACUGGUCCGGUACUGACGCUGAGGUGCGAAAGCGUGGGGAGCAAACAGG
rnacentral:rRNA from 1 species